ACACGAACUGCGCGAACGUUAUUCGGAAUCAUUGGGCUUAAAGAGUUCGUAGGCGGCCUGAUAAGUUGGGUGUGAAAUCCCUCGGCUCAACCGAGGAACUGCGCCCAAUACUGUCAGGCUCGAGGGAGACAGAGGUGAGUGGAACUGAUGGUGGAGCGGUGAAAUGCGUUGAUAUCAUCAGGAACACCGGUGGCGAAAGCGGCUCACUGGGUCUCUUCUGACGCUGAGGAACGAAAGCUAGGGGAGCGAACGGGAUUAGAAACCCCAGUAGUCC
rnacentral:rRNA from 1 species